rnacentral:misc_RNA from 1 species
CCGAGGCGUGCCGCUGGUCGCCCUUCAGAAGCCGGCGAGGCCGCCGAUGAAGAUGGGGACGAGGGCAGCGACGGCGAGGCGCCUUUCGCGGGAGGCGCGAGCAACGGCUCAAGGCGCACCGCCGUUCGUACACGCGAUACUCGCACCCUCACGGCAAGUUACGCUGAUAGCGUGGCCAAGGAGGUGCAACUGAGUCCAUGGGCUCCUCAUCGCUCGAAGCGUAUUGAGGGAUGUGUACCGAGUGACGGCGGAGCGCCGGAAACAUUACAGAAAACAGCGAUGAUGUCAGCUGCAAAGGGCAGCAGCGAUCCAGAUAACGGCACUGACCCGUGCGAUUUUCGCAAACGCGCUUCAGCUUGCUCACAUGAGCGACAGAUAAGCGAUCGUGACGCACUGAUGGACGGCAGCGCGCGCACGUCGUCGCGGCUGCGCUCCUCCGGCAACAUAUUCACGAUCAAACGCAUGGAGUCGGAGAGAAGCACUGCGGUGGAGAAGUCAGGGGCAGAUGCGGCACAGACAGACGAUGUGUACGCCACUGGGUUCUGCAGAGUGCUUUCCCGCUCUCAGAGCGACUAUGCAGUGCUGAACAAGCGACGCUCCUGCCUGAGCAUGCGCUCUGACCUCGCCAUCCGUGCGGAAGCGAUUCGGCGGCUCGCUACAACGCCUGAGGUGUACACGGACGACGCUUCCGUCCACAUGGAUGAGGAGGCCAUCGCUGCUGCACGCAGCGCAAGGGCAGCGCGUGCCUUGCGCCUCCGCCAUGAGAAGGCGCGAGUCGAACAGGAGCGUGCUGCGCAGGCCCAGAUGAUGUCCACUGCCCUGCUGCUUUCUACUGCACCAGUGCCCGCAGAUGAUCAAGAAGAGGAGGAGCAGCUCGAUGCUUACGCCCUCUACGGCCCGAGGCGUGCCGUUGGCCGCCCCGCCUCCAUGGACCUUGGAUCUGCGGAGGAUGGACGGGCAACGAGUGCUGAGACGGAUGCCGAUGACGAGCAGCUAUCGCCGUCGUUCGGGUUCGGCCCGAGGCGUGCCGUUGGCCGCCCCGCCUCCAUGGACCUUGGAUCUGCGGAGGAUGGACGGGCAACGAGUGCUGAGACGGAUGCUGAUGACGAGCAGCUAUCGCCGUCGUUCGGGUUCGGCCCGAGGCGUGCCGUUGGCCGUCCCGCCUCCAUGGACCUUGGAUCUGCGGAGGAUGGACGGGCAACGAGUGCUGAGACGGAUGCUGAUGACGAGCAGCUAUCGCCGUCGUUCGGGUUCGGCCCGAGGCGUGCCGUUGGCCGCCCCGCCUCCAUGGACCUUGGAUCUGCGGAGGAUGGACGGGCAACGAGUGCUGAGACGGAUGCUGAUGACGAGCAGCUAUCGCCGUCGUUCGGGUUCGGCCCGAGGCGUGCCGUUGGCCGUCCCGCCUCCAUGGACCUUGGAUCUGCGGAGGAUGGACGGGCAACGAGUGCUGAGACGGAUGCUGAUGACGAGCAGCUAUCGCCGUCGUUCGGGUUCGGCCCGAGGCGUGCCGUUGGCCGCCCCGCCUCCAUGGACCAUGGAUCUGCGGAGGAUGGACGGGCAACGAGUGCUGCGACGGAUGCUGAUGACGAGCAGCUAUCGCCGUCGUUCGGGUUCGGCCCGAGGCGUGCCGUUGGCCGCCCCGCCUCCAUGGACCUUGGAUCUGCGGAGGAUGGACGGGCAACGAGUGCUGAGACGGAUGCUGAUGACGAGCAGCUAUCGCCGUCGUUCGGGUUCGGCCCGAGGCGUGCCGUUGGCCGUCCCGCCUCCAUGGACCUUGGAUCUGCGGAGGAUGGACGGGCAACGAGUGCUGAGACGGAUGCUGAUGACGAGCAGCUAUCGCCGUCGUUCGGGUUCGGCCCGAGGCGUGCCGUUGGCCGCCCCGCCUCCAUGGACCUUGGAUCUGCGGAGGAUGGACGGGCAACGAGUGCUGAGACGGAUGCUGAUGACGAGCAGCUAUCGCCGUCGUUCGGGUUCGGCCCGAGGCGUGCCGUUGGCCGCCCCGCCUCCAUGGACCUUGGAUCUGCGGAGGAUGGACGGGCAACGAGUGCUG